rnacentral:rRNA from 1 species
UUGGAGGGCAAGUCUGGUGCCAGCAGCCGCGGUAAUUCCAGCUCCAAUAGCGUAUAUUAAAGUUGUUGCAGUUAAAAAGCUCGUAGUUGAAUUUCGGGGUUAGUAAGUUGGUCAUGCCUCCGGUAUGCACUGGCUUUACUGAUUCCUCCUUCUUGAUGAACCGUAAUGUCAUUAAUUUGGUGUUGCAGGGAAUCAGGACUGUUACUUUGAAAAAAUUAGAGUGUUUGAAGCAGGCAUACGCUUGAAUACAUUAGCAUGGAAUAAUGAAAUAGGACGUUUGAUCCUAUUUUGUUGGUUUCUAGGAUUGACGUAAUGAUUAAUAGGGAUAGUUGGGGGCAUUAGUAUUCAAUUGUCAGAGGUGAAAUUCUUGGACUUAUUGAAGACUAACUACUGCGAAAGCAUUUGCCAAGGAUGUUUUCAUUAAUCAAGAACGAAAGUUAGGGGAUCGAAGACGAUCAGAUACCGUCGUAGUCUUAACCAUAAACUAUGCCGACUAGGGAUCGGAUGAUGUUAUUUUUAAUGACUCAUUCGGCGCCUUACGGGAAAC